rnacentral:rRNA from 1 species
UACGUAGGGGGCAAGCGUUGUCCGGAAUCAUUGGGCGUAAAGCGCGUGUAGGCGGUCCGGUAAGUCCGCUGUGAAAGUCGGGGGCUCAACCCUCGGAUGCCGGUGGAUACUGUCGGGCUUGAGUACGGAAGAGGCGAGUGGAAUUCCUGGUGUAGCGGUGAAAUGCGCAGAUAUCAGGAGGAACACCAAUUGCGAAGGCAGCUCGCUGGGACGUUACCGACGCUGAGACGCGAAAGCGUGGGGAGCAAACAGG